rnacentral:rRNA from 1 species
AGUCCCGGCUAAUACUCGUGCCAGCAGCCGCGGUGAUACGGGAGGGGCAAGCGUUAUCCGGCAUGACUGGGCAUAAAGGGUCCGUAGACCGUAAAGUAAGUUACUUGUUAGAUUUUAAAACCUAACUUUAAGACAGCUUGUAAUACUGCUUUACUUGAGUUUUAUACAGAAGAGUAGAAUUUUAUACGAAAGGGUAAAAUCUGAAGAUAUAUAAAGGAAUACCAUUAGCGAAGGCGACUCUUUGGUAAAAACUGACGUUGAGGGACGAAAGUAUGGGUAGCAAACAGGAUUAGAUACCCUGGUAGUCCAUACUGUAAACUCUGAGUGCU